rnacentral:rRNA from 1 species
AUUGAACGCUAGCGGGAUGCUUUACACAUGCAAGUCGAACGGCAGCGCGGACUUCGGUCUGGCGGCGAGUGGCGAACGGGUGAGUAAUGUAUCGGAACGUGCCCAGUAGCGUGGGAUAACUACGCGAAAGCGUGGCUAAUACCGCAUACGCCCUACGGGGGAAAGCAGGGGAUCGUAAGACCUUGCACUAUUGGAGCGGCCGAUAUCGGAUUAGCUAGUUGGUGAGGUAACGGCUCACCAAGGCGACGAUCCGUAGCUGGUUUGAGAGGACGACCAGCCACACUGGGACUGAGACACGGCCCAGACUCCUACGGGAGGCAGCAGUGGGGAAUUUUGGACAAUGGGGGCAACCCUGAUCCAGCCAUCCCGCGUGUGCGAUGAAGGCCUUCGGGUUGUAAAGCACUUUUGGCAGGAAAGAAACGUCGCGGGCUAAUACCCCGUGGAACUGACGGUACCUGCAGAAUAAGCACCGGCUAACUACGUG